CAGUAGCCGCGGUAAUACGAAGGGUGCAAGCGUUACUCGGAAUUACUGGGCGUAAAGCGCGCGUAGGUGGUGGUUCAAGUCCGUUGUGAAAGCCCUGGGCUCAACCUGGGAAUUGCAGUGGAUACUGGGUCACUAGAGUGUGGUAGAGGAUAGUGGAAUUUCCGGUGUAGCAGUGAAAUGCGUAGAGAUCGGAAGGAACAUCUGUGGCGAAGGCGACUAUCUGGGCCAACACUGACACUGAGGCACGAAAGCGUGGGGAGCAAACAGGAUUAGAUACCCGAGUAGUCCCUGUCUCUUAUAA
rnacentral:rRNA from 1 species